UUGAACGCUGGCGGCAGGCCUAACACAUGCAAGUCGAACGGUAACAGGAAGCAGCUUGCUGCUUCGCUGACGAGUGGCGGACGGGUGAGUAAUGUCUGGGAAACUGCCUGAUGGAGGGGGAUAACUACUGGAAACGGUAGCUAAUACCGCAUAACGUCGCAAGACCAAAGAGGGGGACCUUCGGGCCUCUUGCCAUCGGAUGUGCCCAGAUGGGAUUAGCUUGUUGGUGGGGUAACGGCUCACCAAGGCGACGAUCCCUAGCUGGUCUGAGAGGAUGACCAGCCACACUGGAACUGAGACACGGUCCAGACUCCUACGGGAGGCAGCAGUGGGGAAUAUUGCACAAUGGGCGCAAGCCUGAUGCAGCCAUGCCGCGUGUAUGAAGAAGGCCUUCGGGUUGUAAAGUACUUUCAGCGGGGAGGAAGGGAGUAAAGUUAAUACCUUUGCUCAUUGACGUUACCCGCAGAAGAAGCACCGGCUAACUCCGUGCCAGCAGCCGCGGUAAUACGGAGGGUGCAAGCGUUAAUCGGAAUUACUGGGCGUAAAGCGCACGCAGGCGGUUUGUUAAGUCAGAUGUGAAAUCCCCGGGCUCAACCUGGGAACUGCAUCUGAUACUGGCAAGCUUGAGUCUCGUAGAGGGGGGUAGAAUUCCAGGUGUAGCGGUGAAAUGCGUAGAGAUCUGGAGGAAUACCGGUGGCGAAGGCGGCCCCCUGGACGAAGACUGACGCUCAGGUGCGAAAGCGUGGGGAGCAAACAGGAUUAGAUACCCUGGUAGUCCACGCCGUAAACGAUGUCGACUUGGAGGUUGUGCCCUUGAGGCGUGGCUUCCGGAGCUAACGCGUUAAGUCGACCGCCUGGGGAGUACGGCCGCAAGGUUAAAACUCAAAUGAAUUGACGGGGGCCCGCACAAGCGGUGGAGCAUGUGGUUUAAUUCGAUGCAACGCGAAGAACCUUACCUGGUCUUGACAUCCACGGAAGUUUUCAGAGAUGAGAAUGUGCCUUCGGGAACCGUGAGACAGGUGCUGCAUGGCUGUCGUCAGCUCGUGUUGUGAAAUGUUGGGUUAAGUCCCGCAACGAGCGCAACCCCUAUCCUUAGUAGCCAGCAGUAAGAUGGGCACUCUAGGGAGACUGCCGGGGAUAACCCGGAGGAAGGUGGGGAUGACGUCAAAUCAUCAUGCCCCUUAUGAUUUGGGCUACACACGUGCUACAAUGGCGUAAACAAAGGGAAGCGAGCCUGCGAGGGGGAGCGGACCUCAUAAAGUGCGUCGUAGUCCGGAUUGGAGUCUGCAACUCGACUCCAUGAAGUCGGAAUCGCUAGUAAUCGUGGAUCAGAAUGCCACGGUGAAUACGUUCCCGGGCCUUGUACACACCGCCCGUCACACCAUGGGAGUGGGUUGCAAAAGAAGUAGGUAGCUUAACCUUCGGGAGGGCGCUUACCACUUUGUGAUUCAUGACUGGGGUG
rnacentral:rRNA from 1 species